GCGCUGUGAGGGCGCCGGAUCUGGAGCGGCUCACCGGGGUUCGGUCCGGAAAGCCCACGUUCUACCCCGAGUUCCGCGUCGCGGCGCAGCGCACC
rnacentral:tRNA from 1 species